UUAAAAAAUUUAAACACACAUGCAGGGAACAUUGAAACAAACUAAUGAAUUCAUGCCACACCAUCACCACCACUGACCACCGCACUGGAGGCUGCCUUCGGCAGCGGUGGUGCAUCAAAAUCCGAAUAACAACCAUCAUCCUCAUCGCAACCUCAUGCUAAGUUCAAAUACAAGAUUAAUUUUAUGAAAUUCUCAAACCUAAGUCCUAACUGAAAGGGGAGCAUUCCAGAACCCUAGGCAAAGAAUGAUAAAUUAAACGAUAGUUGUUCACAGAUUCACGCUCAAAUCCUAGGGCUAAUGAUCCGUAAAGUAUUAUCUACAUAGUGGUAACAAGAUCAUGGUAAACAGAGAAGAAGCUUAUUUACCUCUGAAACGAAGAUUUGUUCCGACGAACGUUGAAUCGGAGAAGAUGAAGUUGCAACGAAAAAUCACAUGAACAAGGGGGAAAUUAUUUUGCUGAUUUUUCUGUCAUGAGCUUACUUGAAUGCUUGGAAAGUUAUGCUAUUGUGGAGAAUUUUCACUUGGUGUGUGGUUGAAAAAAUACAGGUGUAUGAGUUAUGAAGAGUUUUGGCUAUGUGUUCUGCUUACGAAAUAUGUAAGGUCAAUGUGUGAUGCUCAAGUUGUUGUAAAUGAACUGUGUACAAGUUCUAUUAUGCCUUCAUUAUGAAUUACGGAUGUAGAUGCAUGUAUGCUCAUGGCUGCUUGGCAAAUCAGGCCAAGGUUCAUGGUGAUGAUGAAAUGUUGAUAUAGUAAGUCAUAGUGAGGUUGCACGGAAUGGUUGGUUUGCCUACUGCAGUAGGGCAAGGUUUUUGAGAUAAUUUGCAACAUGAUAUCAUGUGAUGAGCUUAUGCUUUAGUGAAUUGUUGCAAGUAGUUUGUCAUGUUAUAUUUCAAACUUAGACAUUAUUUUGUAAUGUUUGGAUUUGGUGGCUUGAUUGGUGUAAUGUUUGUAGCAAGGCAAGAUAAGUAAAGCUUGGUUUGGCAAGGAAAAUGCAGGGUAUGACUUGGUUUGACAAGCCAAAAGACCAAGUCAUAACAUGGUGUGGUCCAUUUUGCAAAAGGUGGAGCUUUCUUGGUUGUGAAGUAACAUUGGAUUUUAUGGAAUUAAAUAUGGAUGUAUAUGUAGUCAACAUUAGGUUUAGGAUGAAGAAAUGUAAAGGUUGACUUUGGUCAAUUGUUUGACCAAAAAGUCAACUUUUGAAAAAUGAAUAUUUUUUAUUUCUUUGUAAUGGAACAAUGUAUUCUUGAUAAAUGAAUGGAAAACCAAUGUUUUGAAUGGAAUAA